rnacentral:rRNA from 1 species
GAUGAACGCUGGCGGCGUGCCUAAUACAUGCAAGUCGAGCGAACGGACGAGAAGCUUGCUUCUCUGAUGUUAGCGGCGGACGGGUGAGUAACACGUGGAUAACCUACCUAUAAGACUGUGAUAACUUCGGGAAACCGGAGCUAAUACCGGCUAAUAUUUUGAACCGCAUGGUUCAAAAGUGAAAGACGGUCUUGCUGUCACUUAUAGAUGGAUCCGCGCUGCAUUAGCUAGUUGGUAAGGUAACGGCUUACCAAGGCAACGAUGCAUAGCCGACCUGAGAGGGUGAUCGGCCACACUGGAACUGAAACACGGUCCAGACUCCUACGGGAGGCAGCAGUAGAGAAUCUUACGCAAUGGGAGAAAGCCUGACGGAGCAACGCCGCGUGAGUGAUGAAGGGCUUCGGAUCGUAAAACUCUGUUAUUAGUGAAGAACAUAUGUGUAAGUAACUGUGCACAUCUUGACGGUACCGAAUCAGAAAGCCACGGCUAACUACGUG